CCUGGGCAUAGUGGCAUGCACCUGUGGUCCCAGCUGCUUGGGAGGCUGAGGCAGGAGGAUCACUUGAGCCCAGGAGUUUGAGGCUGCAGUGAGCCAUGAUUGCACCACUGCACUCUAGCCUGGGCAACAGAGUGAGACCCUGUCUCUU
rnacentral:sRNA from 1 species